GAUGAACGCUGACAGAAUGCUUAACACAUGCAAGUCUACUUGAUUCUACUUCGGUAGUUGAUGGUGGCGGACGGGUGAGUAACGCGUAAAGAAUCUGCCCUUUAGUUUGGGAUAACCUUUGGAAACGAAGGCUAAUACCGGAUAUUAUGGAGACGUCGCAUGACGACUCCAUGAAAGCUAUAUGCGCUAGAGGAGGACUUUGCGUCCCAUUAGUUAGUUGGUGAGGUAAUGGCUCACCAAGACCGCGAUGGGUAGCCGGCCUGAGAGGGUGAUCGGCACAAGGGAACUGAGACACGGUCCUUACUCCUACGGGAGGCAGCAGUGGGGAAUAUUGGACAAUGGGCCACAAGCCUGAUCCAGCAAUUCUGUGUGCACGAUGAAGGUCUUCGGAUUGUAAAGUGCUUUCAGUAGGGAAGAAAAAAAUGACGGUACCUACAGAAGAAGCGACGGCUAAAUAUGUGCCAGCCGCCGCCGUAAUAC
rnacentral:rRNA from 1 species